rnacentral:sRNA from 1 species
CAUGCGGGGCGUCACCUUGCGAUGGCUCCUGCC